ACCUUCCACGGUUUCUGCGACGCAGCUAACGCAUUAAGUGCCCCGCCUGGGGAGUACGAUCGCAAGAUUAAAACUCAAAGGAAUUGACGGGGCCCCGCACAAGCAGCGGAGCAUGCGGCUUAAUUCGACGCAACGCGAAGAACCUUACCAAGGCUUGACAUAUACAGGAAUAUGGCAGAAAUGUCAUAGCCGCAAGGUCUGUAUACAGGUGGUGCAUGGUUGUCGUCAGCUCGUGUCGUGAGAUGUUGGGUUAAGUCCCGCAACGAGCGCAACCCUCGUUCUGUGUUGCCAGCAUUUAGUUGGGGACUCACAGGAGACUGCCGGGGUUAACUCGGAGGAAGGUGGGGAUGACGUCAAAUCAUCAUGCCCCUUAUGUCUUGGGCUGCACGCAUGCUACAAUGGCUGGUACAAACGGCUGCGAUACCGCAAGGUGGAGCGAAUCCGAUAAAGCCAGUCUCAGUUCGGAUUGGGGUCUGCAACUCGACCCCAUGAAGUCGGAGUUGCUAGUAAUCGUAGAUCAGCAACGCUACGGUGAAUACGUUCCCGGGGCUUGUACACACCGCCCGUCACGUCACGAAAGUCGGUAACACCCGAAGUCAGUGGCCCAACCGUAAGGGGGGAGCUGCCGAAGGUGGGAUCGGUGAUUGGGACGAAGUCGUAACAAGGUA
rnacentral:rRNA from 1 species